UACAUUUUUACCCUCUAUUAAUCAACGGUUAAGAUUUUUUUUUUUAAAAAAAAAAAAUACCGAAUCAUUUCUCUUAAAUUAUUUUUUUUAAUUAUUUCUAAUUAUUGGAUUAAAUAUUAUAACCCAGUGGAAACCACUCAACUUUAAAAAGUUCACUCAAUCCGAAGGAACUAAUAUUAUCCUAAUCUUAUAAUUUUUCAUUCAAAAGUUAAAAAUUUGAUAGCAAAAUAGAUAAAAUACUAUCAAUAUAGUAUUCCAGCCCAACUCUCUCUCUCUCUCUAUAAAUAUAUAUUGUGUAGGAUUAUUAAUUGUACUCUUUUAAGUGUGAAGACCUUAAUAUGUAGAGAAAUGAUUCGGUACUUUAAAAAAAUAAAAAUAAAAAAGAUCUUAACCGAUGAUUAAUAGAGAGUAAAAAUAUAAUUUUAAUACUUAGCAGAUAAAAGAAUUAUUUUAUUCAAGGUUAGUUUGGUAAUUAAACAAUACAACAUUUAAAGAAAUUUUUAAUUGAGGUUCUAAAUUACGCAUUAAUUAGCACUAAUUUAGAAAAUUAAUUGAUUAACCAAAUUUAUGCAAUUAUUAGGCAUUAAUUUAGACAUCUACUUUAAAUAUUUUAGUGUUUCUAAAAUUUUGAAAAUAUAGUAAAGAUAAAAUGACUAAAUUAUUCAUGUAUUAAAAGACAAAAAUAUUCUUUUUUGAGGUACCUGAUAACCGGUACCUCUCCCAAAGUGAUCUGCUAUUACAGGUCACAAUUUUAAAAAAAUUAAAUCUGAGCCGUUGAAUACACGUGAAUGAACGGUAAUAAAAAUAAAAAAAGUAUAGAAGCAUUACUCUAAUAUGUAUAUAUGUCAGUUAUUUUUAAUAAUAAAAUCUUCGAAUUGAUAAUUAAUAAUAUUAAAUAUAAUCCAUAGUCUUUAAAUGUAUGAUGAAGAUGUUG
rnacentral:lncRNA from 1 species